rnacentral:misc_RNA from 1 species
GAUGAAGAACGCAGCGAAAUGCGAUACUUGGUGUGAAUUGCAGAAUCCCGUGAACCAUCGAGUCUUUGAACGCAAGUUGCGCCCGAAGCCAUUAGGCCGAGGGCACGCCUGCCUGGGCGUCACACGUCGCUGCCCCCCCCAUCUACUCCUUCGGGAUUGCGGGGGGCGGAUGAUGGCCUCCCGUGCGCCUCGCCGCGCGGUUGGCAUAAAUGCCAAGUCCUCGGCGACGCACGCCACGACAAUCGGUGGUUGCGAAACCUCGGUUGCCCGUCGUGUGCGGUCGUCGCGCAUCGAGGGCUCGAAAAAAUUGCCGAGUUCCGGCUCGGCUUUCAACGCGACCCCAGGUCAGGCGGGGUUACCCGCUGAAUUUAAGCAUAUCAAUAAGCGGAGGA